rnacentral:rRNA from 1 species
AUGCAUGAUUGCUAUGACCUUGAGGUGGAUGCUUAUUCUCUUGUCACACACAUUUGCAUCUCUACCUCCCACUUACAUGAUUGUUUCCAUGAUGUCCUUGAUUGUGCUCAAAUUAUGUGCUUACAUGCCAUGUCACAAUCCGUUGUCACACCAUAUGCUACGCUUGAUGACGGCACUUGUUUGGUGAAUCACCUCUUGAAUGCUUGGUUUUGCACUAACGCCAACCACAUUGGUUUUUCCAAGUGUUUGUUAUCUUUGGUCCUUUUGAAGGAAUCACUAAAUGGUGCGACAUUGGAGAGUGCCCAUUUCGAGCUUCAAGGUGACAAGUACUUGGUGAUCGACCACUUCUACACAGCAAAGCCAUCUCUUUCCCAUGGUGACUUGGUUUUCGCUCCGAGGUCGGAUCUUUCCCAAGGGAGGGGAGAUGAUGCUGAGCAUCCUAUGGACAUCGCCAUGUCAAGAGUCUGUUCGGUGAGUGACACGUGCGACAUCUACUUCACAUACACAAAGGUGAAUCAUCUCCUUUACACAUGCUCACUUGACCCCUUCGAGGAUGGUAUACUACGUGACACUUCUCCCGCGUGCAUGCAUAGGUAUUGUCGGAGCUUCACGGACAACGAGGAGGAGUGCAAGCGCCAAGGAACAAAUAUACCAUCCGUGAGGGAAGUAUGGAUGCGACGACGGAAGAAGACGAACCUACUGAAGCUACAGCGGCCGGACAUUCGGGCCAGAGGCUGGACAUCCGGCGCCUGUGCAGUCGCCCAUGAGCUGCACCAACAGACGACCGAAGCAUCAGCGGCCGGACAUCCGGCCCAUGUACCUGGACAUCCGGCGCAACGCCACAGCCCGGACAUCCGGCAUCGCCCCCGGAAAUCCGGCGUGAGGCACCCGAAGCCAGAAGGUCACCCUGCUCGGGCCGGACAUCCGGCGUCUCACGAGAGCCUGGACAUCCGACCCCUAGCCCGGACAUCCGACGUCUCACGAGAGCCUGGACAUCCGGCGCCUACCUACGCGGAGUCGGGCCAAAGGCCCGUGUAUCCCUUUCCCACUUACCCCUCAUGGCUUAGACUAUAUAUACUCCUCCCCUCCUCCUAG